CGGAAGUUUUGGUUCCUCUGCGUCCUAGUAAGAACGGCAUUGUAGAAAUCAAAGACGGUGAAUUGGAAAGGAGCUGAUGCAGGAGAGUUUCUAGCCAUUUCGUUCAACAUCGGUCCAAUUUUUUCGUUGUGUUGUUUAGCCAAAUCGUUGAGUUUCUCAUAGCAUUGAUCCAUCCCGGUGUUGUAUUCUUGUCUGACGAUGGGU
rnacentral:sRNA from 1 species